CUUAUCAACUUUUUUUCUUCCAGUGCACAGUCCCCACUCAACGCGUGCCGAACGAAGCUGAUUAGAUUCGCUGCGGGGGAUCUCCGACCGAGAUUCUGGUUGGAAGGGCCAAGUGCACCUGGCGAUUCGACCGUCGACGUGCUCGAGCACGUUUCGUAUUGAUACGAGUAGGAGCUACAUACGUACACACACACGGUUGCGGUUGCGCCACAUACCUGGCGAACUUUGGGGCCGCAUGUCCUCCGUCUCCAUCUCACCUGCUUACGUAAGUAGUGCGGCAAUCCGUCGCUCAGCGUGUCGCCGUGUACCGUUAUGGUGCCAGAGCAGCGCCCCGACACCCAAGCACCCUUAGGCACACCACCCACCACCUGCCCCCCACCCGCCCAUCGGAAAGCUGCUCGAGUUGCGUCAAAGUCGUAAAACUUUCUCACCUCAGCCCCCAAACGGCGAAAGUGCACAUAUUCAGAUUAUAAAUACGAGUUUAUGGCGGCGUAAAAAAUGAUUCUUAACGAUCCCCAGUGCUCAUAAUGAAGUUAUCGCAUGAUCGACGCUCGGAAACAUCCAAACAUCCGCGCACCGCACCGACUGAUCGGAAAGAUCAAGGAGGCCUUGCCGCCCACCCAACUCGCCCACACAACGGAUUGUGUAUAAAAAUAAUAUAAUUAUGCUCGUGUUAGCCAGUGCAGCCGUAAUAGUGACGAAGGCGCAUGUCUUUGUGACGUCAGUCUUCACGGGAAACUUCUUCAACUUCUGGCGAUAGCGCAACAAACGUGGCGCACCACUGACUGGACUCCGAAUGGAAGCGUGUGGCAAAUCUGGAAAAUCACAUCCAGCGAGACUUAUGCUACGCUUCCCACGCGUGGAUGCUGCGAUAAAGUUCUGUUUUCGAAGGAGCCUCUUGUGUUGUUUACUGUUUAAUCUGAUUAGGAACACACUUUCCUUGUGAUUCAGUUGCUCGGGGGUUUCCAAGCCGAGCAAACAGUAUUGAAGACAACUGGAAGUGAGUAAGCAUGGUACUGCUAUGGUAUGGGCUGGAAAAUGGAAUAGUUUUGGAAAAGACGCGUUGAUAUCUAGUUUAUUAUGUAUAUAGUACUCAUGACUUGCCUGUAAUCCAUGCCAGCGCUGCUCCACUUGUUUGUUAUGGGAUCCGAAAACUUUAUCGCAAAACGUGAUAAUCGCACGCAUGUGACAAUCAUGUCACGUUUUCGCUUUCAUAAGCCGUUACUAAGUGGCUGCCCAGAAUUUUUUGGCCUGGCAACAAACUUUUAGUGUCACCCAAUAUCUCAUAUAUGCAAGUGUAUUUAUGGUAUAUUUAUGGUAUAUUUGUAUAUUUGCGAUACUAGCGGAGGAAAUAAUAAAAAACUUGAACAUAUGGAGCACCGCAGACAACAAUAUCAAUUGGCUACGGUUUCAGGAAGGGAAAGUGCCUAAAAAUAAGUGAUCGUUAAAUAUGGCGAUUUACUACUAUUCCCCACUAUCUUAUCGGUUACGUAGUGAAAACAUUGAAAACAACCCGUGGUGUCGGGGUGAAAAUAAACCAAGGUCCGCCGAGGAGAACCCUCCUGCUGCAACGCUCCUCCACCUGAUGAGCAAGACCCACUUUCUCGCCUUAUCUUCCCAAUUGGACUUAUCGCUAAUUGGAUGUUCUAGCCGGAAUUUGCGGGCUUAUAGCCAAAAGCGCUUGACAGUUGCUUGGUUGGAUGAUCGGCUGACAGGAGCACGAGUGCUUCUUUGUCAUUAUCGCUGGCGGCGCACUAACCGCGGUCCGAAAAUAACCCGGAAUGUUAAAAAUAACUCGCCGCCCUGCUGAAAUUGCCGGCGACAAUAACAAUAACACAUAUUCUGCAUAAAUAUCAAGGCAAAUAGCUGUUGGAAAAUUUGUAUCAGCAGUUCUGUUUGUUUUUCUGGGCUCUCAUAUUAUCGCUAUCAGUACUUCCAAAGAAAACAGAGUUUAGGCGACAAUGGCAGAGACUGCGACUCCCAGCCAUUUGUUGGCUCGCCACUUGAUGACUUGAUGGGGGAACUACCGGACUGACAUUUCCUUUUAUGGCCAAGGAGACGGCUGAAAGAGGGGUGUUG